AAGCGCCUAUGACCAGACUUGGGCCCGGUGAAUCAUCCAGCGUUCUCGCUGGUGCACUUUGCCGGGCACAGGCCAGCAUCAGUUUGGCUUGGGGGAAAAAGGCUUUGGGAACGUAGCUCCUCGGAGUGUUAUAGACCAUUGCAUAAUA
rnacentral:rRNA from 1 species